rnacentral:misc_RNA from 1 species
GAUGAAGAACGCAGCGAAAUGCAAUAAGUAAUGUGAAUUGCAGAAUUCAGUGAAUCAUCGAAUCUUUGAACGCACCUUGCGCUCUUUGGUAUUCCGAAGAGCAUGCCUGUUUGAGUGUCAUGAAAAUAUCAACCUUGACUUGGGUUUUGUGCUCUAGUCUCGGCUUGGAAUUGGGUGCUUGCCGCUUUUACGAGCGGCUCACCUUAAAUGUAUUAGCUGGAUCUGUCUUUGAGACUUGGUUUGACUUGGCGUAAUAAGUAUUUCGCUAAGGACAUUCUUCGGAGUGGCCUCGUUUCUAGGACGCUUGUCCGCUUUCCAAUACAAGUUCCACCUCGUGGACAUGACUUUUUAUUAUCUGGCCUCAAAUCAGGUAGGACUACCCGCUGAACUUAAGCAUAUCAAUAAGCGGAGGA